AGAGUUUGAUCAUGGCUCAGAACGAACGCUGGCGGCAGGCUUAACACAUGCAAGUCGAACGCCCCGCAAGGGGAGUGGCAGACGGGUGAGUAACGCGUGGGAACGUGCCCUUCGGUUCGGAAUAACUCAGGGAAACUUGAGCUAAUACCGGAUACGUGCGAGAGCAGAAAGAUUUAUCGCCGAAGGAUCGGCCCGCGUCCGAUUAGCUAGUUGGUGAGGUAAUGGCUCACCAAGGCGACGAUCGGUAGCUGGUCUGAGAGGAUGAUCAGCCACAUUGGGACUGAGACACGGCCCAAACUCCUACGGGAGGCAGCAGUGGGGAAUAUUGGACAAUGGGCGCAAGCCUGAUCCAGCCAUGCCGCGUGAGUGAUGAAGGCCUUAGGGUUGUAAAGCUCUUUCGCCAGGGACGAUAAUGACGGUACCUGGAUAAGAAGCCCCGGCUAACUUCGUGCCAGCAGCCGCGGUAAUACGAAGGGGGCUAGCGUUGUUCGGAUUUACUGGGCGUAAAGCGCACGUAGGCGGAUUUUUAAGUCAGGGGUGAAAUCCCGAGGCUCAACCUCGGAACUGCCCUUGAUACUGGAAGUCUCGAGUCCGGGAGAGGUGAGUGGAACUGCGAGUGUAGAGGUGAAAUUCGUAGAUAUUCGCAAGAACACCAGUGGCGAAGGCGGCUCACUGGCCCGGUACUGACGCUGAGGUGCGAAAGCGUGGGGAGCAAACAGGAUUAGAUACCCUGGUAGUCCACGCCGUAACGAUGGAUGCUAGCCGUUGGGGAGCUUGCUCUUCAGUGGCGCAGCUAACGCUUUAAGCAUCCCGC
rnacentral:rRNA from 1 species